GACGAACGCUGGCGGCGUGCCUAACACAUGCCAGUCGAACGGAAAGGCCCUGCUUUUGUGGGGUGCUCGAGUGGCGAACGGGUGAGUAACACGUGAGUAACCUGCCCUUGACUUUGGGAUAACUUCAGGAAACUGGGGCUAAUACCGGAUAGGAUCUCCUGCUGCAUGGUGGGGGUUGGAAAGUUUCGGCGGUUGGGGAUGGACUCGCGGCUUAUCAGCUUGUUGGUGGGGUAGUGGCUUACCAAGGCUUUGACGGGUAGCCGGCCUGGGAGGGUGACCGGCCACAUUAGGACUGAGAUACGGCACAGACUCCUACGGGAGGCAACGGUGGGGAGUAUUGCACAGUGGGCGGGAGCCUGACGCGGCAACGCCGCGUGCGGGAUGACGGCCUUCGGGUUGUGAACCGCUUUCGCCUGUGACGAAGCGUGAGUGACGGUAAUGGGUGAAGAAGCACCGGCUAACUACGUG
rnacentral:rRNA from 1 species